GCCCGGGCGCACCAACCGCCGCGGACGAGGGAGCCGUACCCGCUCAGCGCAAAGACGGCCACAAU
rnacentral:ncRNA from 1 species